rnacentral:rRNA from 1 species
UACGGAGGGUGCAAGCGUUAUCCGGAUUCACUGGGCUUAAAGGGUGCGUAGGCGGGUUGGGAAGUCCGUGGUGAAAUCUCCAAGCUUAACUUGGAAACUGCCGUGGAUACUAUCAAUCUUGAAUAUCGUGGAGGUAAGCGGAAUAUGUCAUGUAGCGGUGAAAUGCUUAGAUAUGACAUAGAACACCAAUUGCGUAGGCAGCUUACUACACGAUCAUUGACGCUGAGGCACGAAAGCGUGGGGAGCAAACAGG